GGUCUAGUCGUAGCUGGAAUUAAUGCAACAUUUUUAAACGCUUUUUGAAAGACGGCUGCAUUGUAUGUUCUGCUUCUUCUUAUAAGAAAUUAUAAGAUUUUCUGUCUUCACGGAAAUAACCCUUUCCAGUUUGAAAUUUGAAAGGUGUCAUGAGCUCUGAAGGCUGCAGUCACGGGAGGAGGUUCCCGCUCGAAGCUGGUGACUGCUCAGCUCCCCGGCCAGCUGCUGAGAGGCACACGCCCGAGGAUCUGACAGGACCGGUCCCUCCGACUCGGCAGCUGAGACGAUGCCCUGGCAGUCAUUGUCUGAAUGUGUGGAGGGAGGUGGCUUGGGAGAGCACCGUUAAUGGGGACACGUCAAGCACAGGCCCCUGAGCGCAGCAGCAGAGAGAAUCUUAGACACAGCUCAGACAGCAGUGGCGUACGAGGGACCGGCUGCUUGGCAGGAAAAGUACAGUCUUACGUGAAAUAAAAAAACCUUAAAGUUUA